CAGGAGGUCAGUUGUACUUUAUCGAGAUUUUAGUAACAAUAACUACAUGUAGUAACUAUGGUAUUUUGGCGGUAACUAUGGUUUCCAUGGCGACGUUUUUGUAAGGAAUUAUAGAUGUUAUGCGGUGAGAUGAAAGAGAGCACUAUCUUUUGUAGAGACACGUCGAGCAGACCAUCCCCAGACUGCAGCAGCGUCUCAGUCAGCUGUACACUCAGGAGUCAUCAGGCCCAAUUGAGGGCUUAAGCUCAGUUCUGGAGCUAAUGGUCUGAGAUGGACUCUGUGUGCCACGGCGCAGGUGAGACGGAGCUGUUCCUGCCCAGCCGAGCGGAGAUCAAACCUGAGGCCGUGGAGGGGGGAAGUCACCUGUGUCCACCUGCGGCUCUGGAAUCAAUAAAGACCCGGGCCAAGCCGUGGAGAACAAAAGCCUGUUUUAUAAGACCAGGGGCCUUGUCUCACGUGAGCUCAAGGUGGAGAUGGGCUUGGGGUCGGGAACUCGGGAAGCUCUGAAAUGAAGGAACUCUGGGGCUUUUGGCACAGAGAGAACUUGGAUUGAAACCUACUACUUUGGCGAAAGCUUCAUAGACUUCAGGUUGGAGCUUCACAAAUGUUAUUGACCUGUGGGCAAGUCUUUUCUUCUUUCUUCAUUCUGCAGAAGCUUUGGUGAGGGCGGUUAGAGGAAUCCCAACCCAGACUCAUUGGAAGUUUGUGCCUAUGGUCACAUUUUCUGCAAAAUGAUGAAAAAUAUAAGUUCCAAAAGGGAGUUUUUGCAGUGAAGAACCGUUUCGGGUUCCUCAAAGAACUUUUCAGUUAAUAGUUUUUAAAGGAACAAGUAUGAACACUCUUAAAAAUAAAGGUUCAAAUAGAGGGGUUUCA
ensembl:lncRNA